rnacentral:snRNA from 1 species
AUACUUACCUGGACGGGGUCGACGGGCGAUCAGUAAGGCUCGUGGCCUAGAUCAAUGGCUCACAUUGCACUUGGUGAGCGCGUUGGUUUACCAUCUUCCCAAGUGGGAGAGUGGACGUCAUAAUUUGUGGUGGGGGGGGUACGCGUUCGCGCGGCCCCUG